GAUGAACGCUGGCGGCGUGCCUAAUACAUGCAAGUCGAGCGAAUGGAUUAAGAGCUUGCUCUUAUGAAGUUAGCGGCGGACGGGUGAGUAACACGUGGGUAACCUGCCCAUAAGACUGGAAUAACUCCGGGAAACCGGGGCUAAUACCGGAUAACAUUUUGAACCGCAUGGGUCGAAAUUGAAAGGCGGCUUCGGCUGUCAAUUAUGGAUGGACCCGCGUCGCAUUAGCUAGUUGGUGAGGUAACGGCUCACAAAGGCAACGAUGCGUAGCCGACCUGGGAGGGUGAUCGGCCACACUGGGACUGAGACACGGCCCAGACUCCUACGGGAGGCAGCAGUAGGGAAUCUUCCGCAAUGGACGAAAGUCUGACGGAGCAACGCCGCGUGAGUGAUGAAGGCUUUCGGGUCGUAAAACUCUGUUGUUAGGGAAGAACAAGUGCUAGUUGAAUAAGCUGGCACCUUGACGGUACCUAACCAGAAAGCCACGGCUAACUACGUGCCAGCCGCCGCGGUAA
rnacentral:rRNA from 1 species